UUUCAGUAACUUUGAUCCAAACUCUAUAUUUUAUACUUAAUAUAAAUAAAUAAUAUAUUCAAAAUUCAGUAAAUAACCUUAGAAUUUUAAAUAAUAAACUCAAAAUUUUAGCUUUGUCAAGAUUUGUGUAAGGUUAUUCACUCAUAUUCUAGUCACAUGAGUAGGUUUGACAAGCAAAAGGCUCUAACCAAGAUGUUAACAAACAUCACAUGAUAAAGAAUGAGAAGACAAAAGGCCAACUCAUAAGCUUCCAAAUUUAAACGAGCAUAACCCGGAGAAGAGCUUCUUUUCUACCGAACAUGGCAGUUGGUGGGGUGGGGUAGUCUUCUCAUGCUCGGAAUUGAACAUCUGGUGUGUGGAUAAUUUAAUCUGAAGGUUCACCAAUGGAAAGUUUGAACUAAGCAUCAGAUGGAAUGACGAUAAGCUGAUGCAGGAGACUCCAAAUUGUCCCUAGAUGAUCAGGUUAUUUACAAGGAGCAAAUGUCAUGAAGCAUUCAAAUAUUAUCUUGACAAACUCUGCAUAUUCAAAGACUUACAUAACUCCUUCAAGUCGAAAAGAAAAAGUAGUUAUCUAACUCGAUUAUGGAAGUCAAUCGAACAAAAUAUUUACCCUAGGAAUUCCAGGUCAUCUCCUCUCCGCUGAGACAAGUAGUGUUUCCCACAUAUGAGAUGAUACGAUACAAUGUAACCCAAGGAAAGGCUAUCUGUAACUUCCGCCUCAAAUGCACCACGACAACAUAGAUCUUGAUGCCACU